CCUACGGUGUGCAGCAGUGAGGAAUAUUGGUCAAUGGGCGGGAGCCUGAACCAGCCAAGUCGCGUGAGGGAAGACGGUCCUAUGGAUUGUACACCUCUUUAGGCGGGGAGCAAUGCCGGGCACGCGUGCCCGGAGGGAGAGUACCCGCAGACUAAGCCUCGUCUAACUCCUUGCCAGCAGACGCGGUAAUACGGAGGAUGCGAUCGUUAUCCGGAUUUCUUGGGGUUAACGGGUGCGUAGGCGGAUUUUUAAGUCCGCGGUAAAAUGUCCGGGCUCAACCCGGGCCGGCCGUUGAACAUGGGGAUCUUGAGUGGGCGAGAAGUAUGCGGAAGGCGUGGUGUAGCGGUUAAAUGCAUAGAUUUCACGCAGAACUCCGAUUGCGAAGGCAGCAUACCGGCGCCCGACUGACGCUGAGGCACGAAAGCGUGGGGAUCGAACAGGAUUAGAUACCCGAGUAGUC
rnacentral:rRNA from 1 species